AUAGGUGGCAAGCGUUGUCCGGAAUUAUUGGGCGUAAAGCGCGCGCAGGCGGGGUCCUUUAAGUCUGAUGUGAAAGCCCACGGGCUCAACCGUGGAGGGUCAUUGGAAACUGGGGGACUUGAGUACAGAAGAGGAAAGCGGAAUUCCAAGUGUAGCGGUGAAAUGCGUAGAGAUUUGGAGGAACACCAGUGGCGAAGGCGGCUUUCUGGUCUGUAACUGACGCUGAGGCGCGAAAGCGUGGGGAGCAAACAGGAUUAGAUACCCUGGUAGUCCACGCCGUAAACGAUGAGUGCUAAGUGUUAGGGGGUUUCCGCCCCUUAGUGCUGCAGCUAACGCAUUAAGCACUCCGCCUGGGGAGUACGGCCGCAAAGGCUG
rnacentral:rRNA from 1 species